rnacentral:tRNA from 1 species
GCCGGUGUGUCGGAAUGGCAGACGAGACGGACUCAAAAUCCGUUGUAGGUGACUACGUGUGGGUUCAAGUCCCACCACCGGCACCA